rnacentral:rRNA from 1 species
GUCCACGCUGUAAACGAUGAGUGCUAGUUGUCGGCAGGCAUGCCUGUCGGUGACGCAGCUAACGCAUUAAGCACUCCGCCUGGGGAGUACGGUCGCAAGAAUUAAAACUCAAAGGAAUUGGACGGGGGCCCGCACAAGCGGUGGAGCAUGUGGUUUAAUUCGAAGCAACGCGCAGAACCUUACCACCUUUUGACAUGCCCGGACCGCCAGAGAGAUCUGGUUUUCCCUUCGGGGACUGGGACACAGGUGCUGCAUGGCUGUCGU